CUACUACUCCCUCCGUUCCAAAUUAUUCGUCGCAGAAAUGGAUAUAUCUAGAACUAAAAUACAUCUAGAUACAUCCAUACCUGAGGCAAGUAAUUCGGAACGGAGGGAGUAGGUG
rfam:Triticum urartu cultivar G1812 contig1205740, whole genome shotgun sequence.